rnacentral:rRNA from 1 species
AUUGAACGCUGGCGGCAUGCCUUACACAUGCAAGUCGAACGGCAGCACGGGAGCUUGCUCCUGGUGGCGAGUGGCGAACGGGUGAGUAAUACAUCGGAACGUACCCUGAAGUGGGGGAUAACGUAGCGAAAGUUACGCUAAUACCGCAUAUUCUGUGAGCAGGAAAGAGGGGGAUCGCAAGACCUCUUGCUUUAGGAGCGGCCGAUGUCGGAUUAGCUAGUUGGUGAGGUAAAGGCUCACCAAGGCGACGAUCCGUAGCGGGUCUGAGAGGAUGAUCCGCCACACUGGGACUGAGACACGGCCCAGACUCCUACGGGAGGCAGCAGUGGGGAAUUUUGGACAAUGGGCGCAAGCCUGAUCCAGCCAUGCCGCGUGCAGGAUGAAGGCCUU